GACGAACGCUGGCGGCGUGCCUAACACAUGCAAGUCGAACGGAGUAAUUCAGCAAUGGAUUACUUAGUGGCGAACGGGUGAGUAACGCGUAGACAACCUGCCUUCUAGAUGGGGACAACACUGCGAAAGUGGUGCUAAUACCGAAUGUGAUGCUUUGGGUGCAUGCCCGAGGCAAGAAAGGUGGCCUCUAUUUAUAAGCUACCGCUAGAAGAGGGGUCUGCGUCUGAUUAGCUAGUUGGCGGGGUAACGGCCCACCAAGGCGACGAUCAGUAGCCGGUCUGAGAGGAUGAACGGCCACACUGGGACUGAGACACGGCCCAGACACCUACGGGUGGCUG
rnacentral:rRNA from 1 species